UCCAGACCAGGUUAGACAGGUCUUUGGUUGGAUGAGACGAGGAACUCUUAGAAAUUAACUAUAUGUAAUGGAUUGUUGACAAGUGAGUCAGAGGAUGACAGACCCCAGACAACCCUGAAGAACAAUUCUGUACCUGAUAAUAGAGUGACAAGUGACUCUGCAGAUGAGAGAACCCAGUAAUCCCUGCAGAACAACUCUGUGACUGG